AUUGAACGCUGGCGGCAUGCUUUACACAUGCAAGUCGAACGGUAACAGGUUAAGCUGACGAGUGGCGAACGGGUGAGUAAUGCAUCGGAACGUGCCCGGUCGUGGGGGAUAACACUUCGAAAGAAGUGCUAAUACCGCAUACGAUCUGAGGAUGAAAGCGGGGGACCGUAAGGCCUCGCGCGAUCGGAGCGGCCGAUGUCAGAUUAGGUAGUUGGUGGGGUAAAGGCUCACCAAGCCGACGAUCUGUAGCUGGUCUGAGAGGACGACCAGCCACACUGGGACUCAGACACGGCGCAGACUCCUCCGGGAGUGAGCAGUGGGGAAUAUUGGACAGUGGGCGCAAGCCUGAUCCAGCAAUGCCGCGUGCAGGAAGAGGGCCUUCGGGUUGUAAACUGCUUUUGUACGGAGCGAAAAGGCUCUCUCUAAUACAGGGGGCUCAUGACGGUAUCGUAAGAAUAAGCACCGGCUAACUACGUGCCAGCCGCCGCGGUAACAC
rnacentral:rRNA from 1 species